CGAGUGGCGAACGGGUGAGUAACACGUGGGUGAUCUGCCCUGCACUCUGGGAUAAGCCUGGGAAACUGGGUCUAAUACCGGAUAGGACCAUGCUUUAGUGUGUGUGGUGGAAAGUCUUUCGGUGUAGGAUGAGCCCGCGGCCUAUCAGCUUGUUGGUGGGGUAAUGGCCUACCAAGGCGGCGACGGGUAGCCGGCCUGAGAGGGUGUACGGCCACAUUGGGACUGAGAUACGGCCCAG
rnacentral:rRNA from 1 species